ACUGCAGAACAAACUACAACGACUUUAAUUUAAGUCUCGUUUCCUUCCCAUAGAUCUCUCCUUUAGGCUUCGGCAUAUUUUGAUUCAUCUUCCUUCUCGCAGAUGAUAUCUUCAGUUCAAUCCUUCUCGUGCAUGUUUUUGAGAGAGACAUUAAACCAAGUGAAUAUCACCAGCAUGAACAUAAAGGUAUCGAUAGAUACAAGUUUUAGUUAGAAUGUUUUUUUUUUUUUUAGGAUUUUGAUUAGAAUGAUUUUAUUUUCUUUCAAUUCAAACUAGGGUUACAAAUGAAUUGAGCCGCACACUAACUGUUCGCAACCUGAAUAUAAUAUUAAUAAAUUCUUAAAAGUUUAAAAUA